rnacentral:rRNA from 1 species
GAUGAACGCUAGCGGCAGGCCUAAUACAUGCAAGUCAAGGGGCCAGCAAUGGCACCGGCGGACGGGUGCGUAACGCGUACACAACGUACCUCUGACAGGGGGAUAGCAUUGGGAAACUGGUGGUAAUACCCCAUAGUAUUGCUGGGAGGCAUUUCUUGGCAAUUAAAGUUUCGGCGGUCAGAGAUCGGUGUGCGUCCGAUUAGCUAGUUGGCGGGGUAACGCCCACCAAGGCGACGAUCGGUAGGGGGUGUGAGAGCAUGACCCCCCACAUGGGUACUGAGACACGGACCCAACUCCUACGGGAGGCAGCAGUAAGGAAUAUUGGACAAUGGGCGCAAGCCUGAUCCAGCAAUGCCGCGUGUGUGAAGAAGGUCUUCGGAUUGUAAAGCACUUUCGACGGGGACAUGAUGACGGUACCCGUAGAAGAAGCCCCGGUAACUUCGUGCCAGCAGCCGCGGUAAGUCACGUGUA